rnacentral:rRNA from 1 species
GUGGAUUAGAUACCCUGGUAGUCCACGCCCUAAACGAUGUCAACUAGUUGUUGGGCUUUUCGGAGCUUAGUAACGCAGCUAACGCGUGAAGUUGACCGCCUGGGGAGUACGGUCGCAAGACUAAAACUCAAAGGAAUUGACGGGGGCCCGCACAAGCGGUGGAUGAUGUGGAUUAAUUCGAUGCAACGCGAAAAACCUUACCUGGUCUUGACAUGUACGGAAUCCUUGAGAGAUCGAGGAGUGCCUUCGGGAACCGUAACACAGGUGCUGCACGGUCGUCGACAGCU